ACAUAUAUAACCACUUGUUUGUUUGUACUUUUACAGGUGUUGGUCCUGUGCAGAUACGGAACAUGGUUAAAGUUUCAUAAUGGAAAAUCUGACAGGCAGUUAACUAAUCCAUGAGUCACAUUUCGUAAUAGCCUAAAGGUCUCUGAUGUUCGACCUUCAUUUGAUACCCUUGCCAUCAGGGAGUUAUACAUAACCCAUCUGAAGAACAUUCUUUAUAUAGAUGACUGCAAGCUGCCCUUUUAUACCUGCAAGAAUGAAUAGGCAUCACAUUUACUGAACCAGGGAAGUUUUCUGCCUGCCUUUCCACUCCUCCCUCUCCCUCUGACUCUUUGCAGGACUGCAGAGGAGCAUUGCAGGAAACUCAAAUGCAAACAGUGGCAGAGUGCUUAGUUUAAGUCUCUUGCAGGGCCUAGCUGAAAGCUUUUGACGGUGCUAUUCAGGAUGUCAGCUUCCCUGUUUCUUCCCCAUUUCCUGGUUCCCUGAGCUGGUAUGGAGCCUCUGAUGCUGCAACAAGGCAAGGUUUUGUCCGACGUGUGUUCUGUUUCCCUGCUGUGUAGUAGCGCUGCUGGAGGCUGGGUGUUAGCACUGGAAACCUGAUGAUUCAGUCACAGAAGUAUGAAGGCCAUAUUGCGGCAACAGGGAGGAAGCGGGGACAUAUAACCUUACCAUGUGUUUUCUGGUGGUCAGAGGUUUCAGUUCAUACUGAAAGAAUUCGUAUUCGGAAAGUUUCAAAAGAUUAAAUGCAGACUCUCCUCGUAUUCUAGAUGGCAGUCAAGCACCACAAGCAACCUCAUUCUCUGCCAACAGUGCUUCUGGAGAAGUAAUGUCUUGUCUGGUUAUUUAUAAAUAGUAAUUUUCCAGGAUCGACACCUAUCAGAGCCCAGCCGUUCACCUCCACUGCCUCCCAUUCCUUGGCAACUGUUCCCCCAGCAAGAGUGCACAGGCAGCACGAGACCUCCAGCUGCCCCUGAUGCCUCUCCUCACCUUCAGUCUCACAGGUCUGGGGAUCUUAGGGUGGUGAGAGAAGCAUCUGCUCUUUGAGCCUCUGCCUCAAACAACAACAUUGCCACGAAUAAGUUUCUGAUAACAAGGAGUUGGGAACUGUACCAGAUAGGAAGACUGCCAGCUCCCUGACACUCACCUCUGGCUGGGGCAUGAGAGGAAGUCCCCUGGCAGAAUAUCUGUGUGAACAACAAAUCCUGCUCACCCCUGAUGGCCACAACAAUGCUGAGCUGAGCAAAUGCACCCUACCCACAGACAAUGCCAAGGCCCUCUGCUCAGCAGAAGAAGGUGAAUUGAGCUUGCCUUCAUGCUCUUAGCAGCCUCGCUCCUGCUGCUCCCUCAAAAACGUAGACUCUGUUUAUGAACACCAAUAUCCUCAAAGCAGAAUUAAAGUUAAUUCUAUUGCAGGCUGACAGAUGCCGAAUAAUAAGCCAGAAACAAAUCUCGAAGGAAGGCAAAUAAAUGCCUACGGUAUCUGGAUCAAUAUCUCAGCAUGCAGUGCUCCAGGGAGAGAAGCUGUAUGAAAUCUCUAAAUGUUUAACCACUUGUGUGUGUUUCUGUGGGGAGAGAAGUGCCAGAUUAGUUUUCCUGUGAUUAGUAUCAUGUCCUUGGCUGGACAGUAUUUUUAUCUCAGCAAGCCCAAGAUGUAUUUUGGUUUAGGCCCCAGAAGCUACCAACUCUAAUUAGUAAAUUAAAAGAAAAAGAACGGAGUGUGUUAGGAACUAUGGAGAGAUUUUCCAGGAUCAUUUAUGAAGCCAUCUUCUUUGCUUGUUGAUUACCAUUAAGCACCUAUUAACUCCGUUGCAGGAAGGUGAUGGAUGAUUAAACUGGGUUAAAUGGAAGUGAUUACGUUGGCUUAUCCCUGUCAUGGAAAAAUUCACUGGGACACGGAAGAGGGAGGAAAUUGUCACACAGAUGCCAGGAAGUUCUGCUGGAAGGUACACGAAAUUGUUUUUCUCCCUGUAAAAGAGCCUUAUCCCACCCAGGAUCCACCUGGAUGCCCCAGACUCGCUUUGAAUUGAAUUGUUUUCACCUCGGACAGCAGUUGCCCCAGCGUUGCACCUGCAUGGUCCACCUGACCUGCAUUUUGAAAGCAUCCCUGAAGACACUGAGAAGCAAGCACCUCGCCCCUGUCGUGACUGCUAACACAGAAGCAGGGUUUUAUUGCAGGGACCGGUGCACAGUUUCCUGCUGGCCAGCAGCCAGGAGCUUGCUUCCUCCAGGUAACAAACAUCCCUGAGCUCUCUCUGUGCUGCCACUCCUCUUUACGGAGAUUUGCAGCAGACACCAUGUGGCAGACCCCUCUGUCAUGACUUUCGUCUCUUGUGCCAUCAGAGAACCGCCCUGGGGACAUGGGGCUGAGAUGUCUGUGUGCGAGCAUGUGCGUGCGCCUCUGUGCACACAGCUGUGUUUGUUUUAUGUUGUAUAUAGAAGAAAAUAAGAUUAUUUAUGUUCUAAUCAUUAUGUGUUCCCUGAGCAAAAUAUUUUCUGCUCUGAUUUAUUGCUCUCUUUAGUCCUGCCCUCAAGCAUUGUUUUUAUGUUUGGAGCUGAUCACAUUUUUUUUCUUUCCCAUUUGGAAAUGGAAAUCUUAAAUCUAACGGCAUAUUGAAUGAAAA